AGUAUCAUAAAUAAUUGUUUGAGAUGGCAAAAUCAAGCAAAUCUAUUAUAUGUAUGGUUUUUAUCAUGUUUGUUCUUUUUUCUCCAUUAAUUCAGGCAACACAAGAGCUAUCAUAUGCACCUGAAGCAUCAUCACCAUCAAGUUCAGUUAAAUUAUCUACCACGAGUCGUAAUACUCGCGUUCUUGUUAAAGGUUGCAUUGGCGCAUCAACGUGCAAAGGUGGUGAUUGUUGCGUUUGUGAUAAAGGCGCAUGCAUUCAAUGUUGUCAUUAAUGAUGUAACAAAAUCAUUCAUAUUUUAAUUAUAUAAUGAAAUGAUUGAUUAAUAA